GUGAUGGUGUAGAGAUGACAGGAGCAGGUUAAAGCCUGAUAUAGACAGUGAUGGUGUAGAGAUAACAGGUUAAAGCCUGAUAUAGACAGUGAUGGUGUAGAGAUGACAGGAGCAGGUUAAAGCCUGAUAUAGACAGUGAUGGUGUAGAGAUGACAGGAGCAGGUUAAAGCCUGAUAUAGACAGUGAUGGUGUAGAGAUGACAGGUUAAUAGCCUGAUAUAGACAGUGAUGGUGUAGAGAUGACAGGUUAAAGCCUGAUAUAGACAGUGAUGGUGUAGAGAUGACAGGUUAAUAGCCUGAUAUAGACAGUGAUGGUGUAGAGAUAACA